CCUACGGGAGGCAGCAGUAAGGAAUAUUGGUCAAUGGACGAAAGUCUGAACCAGCCAUGCCGCGUGAAGGAUUAAGGCCCUCUGGGUUGUAAACUUCUUUUAUCUGGGACGAAAAAAGGGUAUUCUUACUCACUUGACGGUACCAGAGGAAUAAGCACCGGCUAACUCCGUGCCAGCAGCCGCGGUAAUACGGAGGGUGCAAGCGUUAUCCGGAUUUACUGGGUUUAAAGGGUGCGUAGGUGGGCUUGUAAGUCAGUGGUGAAAUCUCCGGGCUUAACCCGGAAACUGCCAUUGAUACUAUAGGUCUUGAAUUAUCUGGAGGUAAGCGGAAUAUGUCAUGUAGCGGUGAAAUGCUUAGAUAUGACAUAGAACACCAAUUGCGAAGGCAGCUUACUACGGAUAUAUUGACACUGAGGCACGAAAGCGUGGGGAUCAAACAGGAUUAGAUACCCUGGUAGUCCACGCCCUAAACGAUGGAUACUCGACAUCAGCGAUACACUGUUGGUGUCUGAGNGAAGANAUAGUAUCCACCGNGAGAGAGCGCGAAGAGUAGUUAAGUUACUAAUUAGUUAAGUUAGAGGCGUUGAGACGNGCCGACGGACGACGACGAGGGAGGUUAGGGAG
rnacentral:rRNA from 1 species